rnacentral:lncRNA from 1 species
CCAGAAACGCCCCGGUCGGCGACCCAGCCCGAGACGCCUGGGGUCCCAAGGGAAGCUGAACGCCCGGUGGGCUCCCGGGAUGGUUCUUCCGGUUCUUUGUGCCGCCUUCACCCAGUGAAGGAGCCUGUAUCCACCCUGCCCAGUCGCUGUUGGGCUGCUGCGGAGCUUCCGCUGCCAUCUUCGGAUCCUGUGUUCCGCCCGGGGCUCCACCAGGGCAGGGAUGGUGAAUGGGGAAAUGGAGAGAGAACCUGAAAGAGCCCCAAACUCGAGGACCUAUUGCUCCCCAAGAAUAACAUCUUCCAGAACUAGACAGAAAACUAG